ensembl:lincRNA
GGUCGUCUGGGCUGAGGCUCAGUGGGUAGCGGAAGGUGUAGAAGGGGGACAUCAGGGCCUUCGCAGCUGUCGUGUGCUGUAGCCCCAGCACGUGGCCAAACUCGUGGGCCGCCACCUGCAGGAGGUCUGUGCCUGGAAGAGGGAGGCAGCCCGGCAGCGCGUGAGCUCCCGCAGCGGGACGCCGGGCCCGGCUCUGGGGCCUCGGCGGGGCCCCUCCAGAAAGCGGGGCCCGAGCCCCUACCCUGGUUGUCCCCGAUGGUCCAGGUCUCAUCAUAGUCGAAGUGGACAUCCCCUUCUCGGUGGGUCUUGGGGAAGAAGGCGUGGGCCAGGAUGCCCCCAGGUCCAUCGAAGGGCAGGUUGUCCCCAUGCCAGUACCUGUGGGGGGGUGGGUAGGGGCAGAGUCAGUGGCUGCCGGCAGAUGGGUUUCCUUCCCGGGGGGAGGGGGUGCCCCAGGGGGUGCCCCAGGCCCCCGGCUCACCUGGUGAAGUCGAUCACGAUGUCGGCAUGGCCCUCGUGCACCUCAGUGAAGGUGAGUGGCGUGACGUCACUCCACACUCGGAGGGCCUCCGCCACCGUCUGCCGCACCUGUUCCCGCAAGGACCGAGGCGGUGGGGGGGGCCUAGGUCUGGCUCACAGGGCUGGUCAUCAGGGCCAGGAGUUGCCCCGGAUGUGCAGUGGGGGGGCAGGCGUGCAGGAUGUGGGCCCGGUGUGCUCCGAGGGUGCGCACCGCUCCCUCCACCACAUGGGCACAGCUCUGUGUGGUCUGUGUGCCCUUAGGUGCCCACGAGGGUCUGCACUGGGCAGAAAGGACCCAGGAGCCCCAAGGCCCCCUCCUAGACUUGACCGUGCCACUGACCGUGGGGAGACCUUAGACUCUGAGACCUGCCCCUCCUGUGUCCGCAGGCUCCCCACCCAGGACACUUCGGGGCCCCCAGGAGUCCCAGCUGCAAUGACAUGGGACACCACACCCAUCCUCGCUGCCCCCUGCUGCCCGCUGCAGGAUGUGUAAGUCUCAGCGCCGCUGUGGCCUUCCCGAGCCAUAUUUGGGGCAGGAGCUGGGCUGCCCGGGCCCCACCCUCGGCCUCAGCCUCUGGCAACUCUCCCAGGGCCUGGGCACCCCAGAGCUCCCCCUCACCCCCCGCCAACUCCAGAGUCACCAGGAACAGUAGCAGGCAGAGCAGGAGGCUCUCUGCGCUCCCAGCCCACCCCCAACCCCAACUCUGCUCUGUCCUUCAGGCUGGGGUCCCCCUUCCCCAGGGGAGGGACUGGCCCCACCAGAGCAAACGAAGAGGAGGAAGUAGGCGGGAGGACACACGUCCACGUCCCACACUGGGGACGUGGGCCCCAGGCCUGCCCCUGCUUCUCCCCACACCACUCCGUGACCUCCAGGAAGAACAGAAACCCUUUCCUCAACCCGGGCGGGGGCCCGAGGACCCUCCCCAGAAAGGCCAGGGCUGCACUGUUCCCCCGGAGCCCCAGAGAGCCCAGGGCCCAGCCUGCCAUCGAGUGAAAAUCUCCCCUCUCCUCUGCCCCCCGGGAGGCCUGAGCAGCAAGCCACAGUGGGGGGAGGGUGACAGAAAUGCCCAGCGUGCCUUCCUCUCCUGCCCCCACGAGGCGCUAGGUCCAGGCCCAGACCCCUGCAUCCUGGCACGCUCAGUGCAGCCGCGAGAUCUCCAGCCUGAGAUUCAGAAGGCCCAGUUCCACUCCACGGAGACCCUGGUCAAGUCACAGCCUUCUCUCAACCUCCACUUUCCCAUCUGUCCAAUGGGAAUGGGGCCGCGGGGAAGGUGGGAGUGGGGCCGGGGGGAGGGGGCAUCCAGCCUCUCUGUAACGCCCUUCGGGGCAGCAGGCGCGGAGAGAGUCCCCUCCUUGGGCUGGCUUCUCCGACUCUGGGAUGCUGCUCUGCCAAAUUCCUGCUGUCCCCCACCUGGCAGUCAGCCCCCACCUCCCCCCCAGGCCCCCAGACCUGACAUCUGAAUGCGGGAGCAGCAGCUGGAAGGAAGCUCUCAGGGCCAGAGAGGAAGAAGGGCUCGCUCAGGGCCCACCUGCAAGCCGGGGCCUCUGCUUCCCUGCCUACGUCUUGGUUACCACUCCUAGAGGCUCUAGGGUCAGGGCCCCGGCAGCGAGGUCCUUUCUUGGAGCCCACCGUCCACAGGCUCUUGGCCUCAGUUUCUCCACCGCUGGCCCCUGCUCUGCCGCCCUCCUGCAUUCUGUCUCCCCACGUCCUUUCCGGCCUGGGGCUGGGGGCCCUCCCUAGCUGCAAGGCCUGAUCCCUCACCUGGGUGUGCCGGUCCCCCCAUCCCGCCCGGGGCUGCUGGGAGGCAGUGAGGUGGGGUGAGCACACACCACGCCUGGCUCAUCCACAGCCCUGGGGGAUUGGGGAGCAGGCGUCGCCCCACCUCCCAGGGGAAGAGACAGGGCCCAGAGAGGUCCAGGUCUUGGCCCAGGGUCACACAGCGAGGGAGCUCAGAGCUGGACCUAGACCUGGGGAUCAGGCCUCCCCACCCACGGUCCCCCCAAACCCCAGCUAUGGCUUGUCUCCAAAACCCACAUUCCUGAGACAGCUGCUCGUCGGCCAGCGUCUCCCUGGGCCUGCCCUGGGCGGGGGGGCCCUCACCCCACCUCUCCCCGAAAGGCACCACACCACAGCCUCACACAUCCUCGAGGAAUCACUUGGGGAAUUCAGUCUCCCAGCUGAGCCAGAGGCUCCGGUCAGCCUCGGGGUCAACCUGCAACCAGGAAAAUGGGAGGCAGCCAGCAGCCGGUAGCAGAGGGGGCCCCUGGACUGGGAAGUGCUGGGCACGGCUGGGCCGAGCAUGCCCUCUCUGGCCUGCCUGCCACUGGCCCAGGUUCCCAUAGCCACCCCCUCUGCGGUGGGCAGGAGGCGACCCUGAGGAGAGGACACUGGUCAGGCUGGAAGGCAGGGACGGGAGGGGGCAGGGGGGGGAAGGGGGGGUCCCCCCCAGCGGGCGGGCAGCGGGGCUUUCAUCAACCCUGAAAGCUGUGAGCUUGGAUGGAUAAAUAUUUACAGAGCCUUCCCAGCCCUGCCAACAGCCAUCCAGGGAUAAGCACGUCCAAGGCGACCCCGGGUGCCCCCUGCAUAUCUGCAGCGUGACAGCCCAGCUCAGACCCCGCCUGGCCCCGCACAAGCGGCACAGUGGCAGCUCCUGGGGAUGGACCGCGUCCGNNNNNNNNNNNNNNNNNNNNNNNNNNNNNNNNNNNNNNNNNNNNNNNNNNNNNNNNNNNNNNNNNNNNNNNNNNNNNNAGGGCUCCCGAGGCGCUGGAGGGCUCACAUGGGGCCACGUGGUUCCAAAGCCCAGGUCCCUCCGGUUCCUAAACCCGCGGAUUCAGCAGCUCCCCAGGGUGACCCCUAGACUCUGCCCCUAGGCCUAGGGCGGGCUGGCACACACAGGGGCGUCCCCCACCCCCACCCCCGCCGUGGCACACCGGAACUCUCACACUUAGGCUGCCUCCUGGCUCCACAGGCUCCCUAUCCCGGCACUCACAGGUCCCAGGCGGUGGCAUCUGUCUCCUCCAGGCUCAGACCCCGCAUGCCCUCCCCACAGCGGUUCCUCGCCGAGGCCACUCACCUGGCGGCUGACGCCGGCUGGAGACCCACGGGUCUUUGUCCCUGCAGUGAGUCGGGAGCCCUGUGGCUCCUCCCGCUGUCCCUCCCCUGGAACACACACACACACCCGGGAUCGUGGCCGGGCGGGAGCGGAGGGGCAGGUCCGGGAGCUGGGGGGGUGGCGGCAUGCGUCUAACGCCC